GGGAGGUAGUGACGAAAAAUAACAAUACAGGACUCAUAUCCGAGGCCUUGUAAUUGGAAUGAGUACACUUUAAAUUCUUUAACGAGGACCUAAUGGAGGGCAAGUCUGGUGCCAGCAGCCGCGGUAAUUCCAGCUCCAUUAGCGUAUAUUAAAGUUGUUGCGGUUAAAACGUUCGUAGUUGAACUUGUGCUCCAUACGGGUAGUACACCUAAAAUAUUGGUUUGUACGUUACCUUUUAGUUAUGUGAGCGUAUUAUCGGUGGAUUGAUGUUAUCGUUUGAUUUAUUCAUUCGUAUAACAAAUAUAUCCUAUAAUAACCUGCUUCAAUGCUCUUUACCGGGUGUUGUCGUGGGCCGAUACAAUUACUUUGAACAAAUUAGAGUGCUUAAAGCAGGCCGCUAUACGCCUGAAUAUUCUGUGCAUGGAAUAAUGGAAUAUGACCUCUGUUCUACUUUCAUUGGUUUUUAGAUCAAGAGGUAAUGAUUAAUAGAAGCAGUUGGGGGCAUUAGUAUUACGACGCGAGAGGUGAAAUUCUUGGACCGUCGUAAGACUAACUUAAGCGAAAGCAUUUGCCAAAGAUGUUUUCAUUAAUCAAGAACGAAAGUUAGAGGUUCGAAGGCGAUCAGAUACCGCCCUAGUUCUAACCAUAAACGAUGCCAGCUAGCAAUUGGGUGUAGCUACUAUUAUGGCUUUCUCAGUCGCUUCCCGGGAAACCAAAGCUUUUGGGCUCCGGGGGAAGUAUGGUUGCAAAGCUGAAACUUAAAGGAAUUGACGGAAGGGCACCACCAGGAGUGGAGCCUGCGGCUUAAUUUGACUCAACACGGGAAAACUUACCAGGUCCGAACAUAAAUGAGUAAGACAGAUUGAUAGCUCUUUCUCGAAUCUAUGGGUGGUGGUGCAUGGCCGUUCUUAGUUCGUGGAGUGAUUUGUCUGGUUAAUUCCGAUAACGAACGAGACUCAAAUAUAUUAAAUAGAUGCAUUCAGGAUUAUGAUGUUUGAAACUCAGCAUAACCUUCUUGUAUGAAAUAUAGCAAUAUAUCGAUUACUUGAAGUGUCUAUGUUAGUGGAGUCGUACCUGUUUGUUUAUCCCAAUAAUACGGGAUACUAGCUUCUUAAAUGGACAAAUUGCGUCUAGCAAUAAUGAGAUUGAGCAAUAACAGGUCUGUGAUGCCCUUAGAUGUCCUGGGCUGCACGCGCGCUACAAUGAAAGUAUCAACGUGUAUUUCCUAGACCGAGAGGUCCGGGUAAACCGCUGAAUCACUUUCAUGCUUGGGAUUGUGAACUGAAACUGUUCACAUGAACCUGGAAUUCCCAGUAAGUGCGAGUCAUUAACUCGCAUUGAUUACGUCCCUGCCCUUUGUACACACCGCCCGUCGCUACUACCGAUUGAAUUAUUUAGUGAGGUCUCCGGACGUGAUCACUGUGACGCACUUGUUUGUGUUGCGGUUGUUUCACAGAAGUUGACCGAACUUGAUUAUUUAGAGGAAGUAAAAGUCGUAACAAGG
rnacentral:rRNA from 1 species